AACGAACGCUGGCGGCAGGCUUAACACAUGCAAGUCGAGCGCCCCGCAAGGGGAGCGGCAGACGGGUGAGUAACGCGUGGGAACGUACCUUUUGGUUCGGAACAACUCCGGGAAACUGGAGCUAAUACCGGAUAAGCCCUAACGGGGAAAGAUUUAUCGCCGAAAGAUCGGCCCGCGUCUGAAUAGCUAGUUGGUGAGGUAACGGCUCACCAAGGCGACGAUCAGUAGCUGGUCUGAGAGGAUGAUCAGCCACACUGGGACUGAGACACGGCCCAGACUCCUACGGGAGGCAGCAGUGGGGAAUAUUGGACAAUGGGCGCAAGCCUGAUCCAGCCAUGCCGCGUGAGUGAUGAAGGCCUUAGGGUUGUAAAGCUCUUUUGUCCGGGAAGAUAAUGACUGUACCGGAAGAAUAAGCCCCGGCUAACUUCGUG
rnacentral:rRNA from 1 species